AAGGUGAGGAUGAGGCAGAGGAGGGUGCAGGUGGUGGAGCAGGCCCUCCAUCCCCUGUGCCCAAGGUGAGGAGGUGACGGGAGCAGGCAGGUCGAGAUGCAUGGGACUGUGGAGAAACUGCAGAGAACAGGGUAGACAGAGUAAUAGUCAGUAAGGGAUCGCUCCUCUCUCCCAGAGCAGAGGCCUGCAGACAGGCUGGUGCCACUGCACGGACAGUAGAGCACACUGGGGUAGUGAAGUGGUUACAUCUCCAACAAACUGACCCAUUCAUGCAGUACAAUUAAGGAACAGAAGAUGGCCUUCAGUGGUGAAGUUGGGGACUGGAGUAUGUGGCUCAGUUGCAGAGCACUGGCCUAGUAUGUGUGAGGACACCUAGUACAGCAGAAGAUGGCCCCAGAUACACUUGAGUCUAGAGGGAACACUAACUUAAUCUCAUAAAGCCAAUGCUUUAGGACCAGCCCAUGGUUUAUGAGCCAACUGCCUCUGUAGGAGCUGAACCUGCAUUGUGGAGAGGAAUCAGCUUGGAUCAUGAAAAGACAGAGCUGGCAGCUUGGCAAAACAAGAGAAUCCUUCGAAGUUUUCUGCCAUCAAUCUGCACCUAAGGUCUUAGAAGCAAGAGCCACUAAUCCAUAGGGACAUCACAGGCCAGGCUCUGAGUGUCUCCUUAGUCGUCCCUCCUCCCCCCCUUCCCCCUGCAACAUCCACUGCACCAAGGGCACACAGCAAAGAUGGCUGGCUGAGCCUAGACUCAAAUCUCAAAUGACUAUCUAAGCACAGGAAUUAAGCCCCACCCACCCAAAAAUGGCCCAUUGAGGACAGUACCAGUUAGUUCCUCAUGUAGACCCAGGGCACAGCACUCUAGGUACUGGGCUCAGCCUGCUGACUUCAGAUUCCUUCUAUAGAAUCAAAGUCUGCUCAUUUCCUAAACUCAUGUUUACUUAUUUAAUGUCAUGCUCAGUUCCAGGGGUGUCAGAAAAGCAAGCCCUGCCUGCCCUCGGAGAAUUCAUCCUAAGGAUAGGGUUCAUAUCCAGAGCCCAGAGAGGCCCCAGGAUGAAGAUUGGUGGACACUUUUACUCACAGUGGCCAUAUCAGCACCCCCUGACUCCUGUGAACGAGGCUCUGACCGAGGACUCCGGCAGCAGCGCCUCCAUCGUAGGCCACGACACCGAGAGCCAUCUGGAUAGAUAUUGAAGUAAGAUGGGAUUCAGCGUUGCAGAGCACAGGAUGCAGGACAAGACCUAGUGUUUGCUGAGGGAGCACCUACCACCUCCUAGCUUGGGCAGGACCCUGAGCUACCCCAACUCAAUCUAGGAUGGGCUUAUUGAAGGGCAUGUCUCUGCUUGGCCUGUGAACCCUGACCAGUCCUGGCUCAAUGUCUCCUGCCUCCCAAGUAUCCUACUACUCUGAUCACCUCUAGCCAGCCCCAAAGCCACGCUGGGUUCCCUGCCAACUACGCCUUCCUCUAGACAAACCCAGUACCCUGGACACUUCUGACCCUAGCACAAGAGUAGCACUCAGGACACCUCAGAAAGAAUGAAGAGAAAGCCCAGAGGAAGGCAGAAGCCUAAGAGGACUGGUGGACCUCAUACCUUUAUCAUUAGGUAGGUCCCCCUGCAGGGAGCUUCCCAUAGCCUGCUGAAUGGCCCGCUGCAAAAGAGGAAAAACACAAAACUCAGGGCCAAGACCUCUGUAGCUUCUGUGGUUUGGAAAGCAUAUUCCCAGGACCCAGCAGCCAGAGUCCACAAAGAACCCCAAUUCUUCCUGAGGGCUUGGUCUAGGGCUGAACCCUCCACCCGUACUUCAGAGCAUGAGAACCUAGGCCCUCAGGCCUCACUGCACCCAGCUCUUACCAAAAUAAAGGCAGAAGGAGAAAGGGCAGGAUCUCUGUCAGGUGGACCGUCUCCCCGAUCCUCUCCCGACUCCUCUGUUUUACCUCGAGACUCAUCUUCCUCCUCCAUGGUCACCUGGGGUUGAGGCAACAGUUUGAAGUGAAGGCUGAGGGAAGCAGAUCAGAGGUGAAGGAAGACCUCAAAGGCCUCCAGUGCGUCCUCCUUUAGUACCCCUCUCCUCCGCCUCAUUCCUGAUGACCUUGUACGUGAUCCCACGCUGACCUGCAGGGACUAGAGCCAUUCUUAUCCUUCUUCUGGAUUCCGGUUGCCUCCCCAUCAAUGGGAGGACUGCUCAGCCACCUGCUCCAACAUCUGGCCCUCCAAUGCCCACAGCUUCCCAAAAGCUCCUAGUCAAACCUCCAAUUAAUUACCCAACCCAGUCAAAGAGAUGCAAACUCAA